rnacentral:misc_RNA from 1 species
UCUCCGUUGGUGAACCAGCGGAGGGAUCAUUACCGAGUUUACAACUCCCAAACCCAGUGUGAACCAUACCAAACUGUUGCCUCGGCGGGGUCACGCCCCGGGCGCGUCGCAGCCCCGGAACCAGGCGCCCGCCGGAGGGACCAACCAAACUCUUUCUGUAGUCCCCUCGCGGACGUUAUUUUUACAGCUCUGAGCAAAAAUUCAAAAUGAAUCAAAACUUUCAACAACGGAUCUCUUGGUUCUG